UACGUAGGUCCCGAGCGUUAUCCGGAAUUACUGGGCGUAAAGUGUCCGUAGCCUGAUAUUUAAGUCUGUUUUCAAAUAGCUCAGCUUAACUGAGAGAAGGGAAUAGAUACUGGAUAUCUGGAGGUUGUUAGAGGUUAGUGGAAUUUCCGGUGGAGCGGUGAAAUGCGUUGAUAUCGGAAAGAAUGCCGAAAGCGAAAGCAGCUAACUAUAACAAACCUGACGGUGAUGGACGAAAGCUUGGGGAGCAAACGGG
rnacentral:rRNA from 1 species